UACGUAGGCGGAAGAUUAAGUCAGUAGUGAAAUCCUGCAGCUUAACUGUAGAACUGUUAUUGAUACUGGUUUUCUUGAAUAUAGUUGAGGUAGGCGGAAUGUGUAAUGUAGCGGUGAAAUGCUUAGAUAUUACACAGAACACCGAUUGCGAAGGCAGCUUACUAAGCUAUGAUUGACGCUGAGGUACGAAAGCGUGGGGAGCGAACAGGAUUAGAUACCCUGGUAGUCC
rnacentral:rRNA from 1 species